GCCUACGGGGGGCAGCAGUGGGGAAUAUUGGGCAAUGGGCGCAAGCCUGACCCAGCGACGCCGCGUGAGGGAAGACGGUCUUCGGAUUGUAAACCUCUUUCAGCAGGGAAGACAAAAGGACGGUACCUGCAGAAGAAGCCACGGCUAGCUACGUGCCAGCAGCCGCGGUAAUACGUAGGUGGCAAGCGUUAUCCGGAAUUACUGGGUGUAAAGGGUGUGUAGGCGGGGUUGCAAGUCAGAUGGUAAAAUUAUGGGGUCAACCCAUAACCUGCGUCUGAAACUACAGAUCUUGAGAGUGGGAGAGG
rnacentral:rRNA from 1 species